rnacentral:lncRNA from 1 species
UAAUGCCCGUUUUCACCAACAACCUCUUACCGUUUCCCUAUCUAAAUGCUACUUUUAGUAAGGAUCCCUCCCAAUUUGACACCUACCUAAAUUCAUUUUCACCACACUUGUACAUGGAUCCCUUAAGUAAGUGACAGAUUACUAGUUCUACAAACGAUAAUGCAAAGUCGAUAUUUUAUCGAUAAAAUGAUUUUUUUGUACUUCUUAAGAAAUAAACGUCUAUCGAGUAUAUAUUACUAAAGCCUGUGAGUUUUUUUUCUUGUGAUGUUAUUUUAAUUUAACUUAAACUACAUUACGCUAUGUUUUAUGCAAUAAAACAGUAAAGAGGUUUUCUAUAGGUGAAUUUUUACCUAUGUCAUUCGCGCGUUUGUCAAUCAAAUUGACUGAUGUGUAUGUGUACAUAGAGUGAGGUUAAUUUUGGGUUUAUUAUUGUUGAAUAGAUAAGUUUAUUUUGGCAGAGAAGAGAAAACGAGGAUAAACCUUUCUUGCAGAAGAAAAAGAUAAGCUAGGAAAUUGCUGACGUCUCAUAGAGACACAAUAUUGAACAAAAAACGGAUGGGACCACGAACGAAGCCAAAAACAAAGCUUGGAUCCAGUCACAAAUAGUUUUAAUGCGACAGGAACCCUUUACAGUUUCAGGUGGUGCGAGAAAUUGGAAAGACGUGUAAAAACAUCCUGCGCCCAGCCCACCUCAAAUUGAAUUGGUGCAGGAGGAUGAUGAUACUGUUUGGUACAUCAUAUGAGGACUAAUAUUAAAAUAUUUGUUUAC